rnacentral:rRNA from 1 species
UACGUAGGGGGCAAGCGUUGUCCGGAAUCAUUGGGCGUAAAGAGCGUGUAGGCGGCCAGAAAAGUCCGCUGUGAAAACUCGAGGCUCAACUUCGAGCUGUCGGUGGAAACUUUCUGGCUAGAGUCCGGAAGAGGAGAAUGGAAUUCCUGGUGUAGCGGUGAGAUGCGCAGAUAUCAGGAAGAACACCCGUGGCGAAGGCGGUUCUCUGGGACGGUACUGACGCUGAGACGCGAAAGCAUGGGGAGCGAACAGG